UUUUUUUUUUUUUUUGUGUUUUUCAUUAUUUAUAUCUAUGGCUAGGUUUUUUUCACUUAACAUUCUACUUUUAAAAUCGGGUAUAAUGCAGUAGCUUAUUGAUCAGGGUUCUUCCCUGUGUUUUGUUAAGUUUUUGCUUGCAUUAUCUUUUAUCUUUCAUCAAUUCUUAAUAAAAAGCUUCUUGUUUAUAAAAAUAAAUAAAUAAAUAAGAUUUAAAAAAUAGUUUUAAGUUUUUUUUCACUAUUUUUCUUUAUAAUAGAAGUUAUAUAUUUUAAAAUGAUUUCUUAUAAUUAAAAUUACACUAUGACUUUUCAUAACUAAAAUUAAAUAGUUAUUUAGGAAAAUAUUUGCUUA
rnacentral:misc_RNA from 1 species